UAUCAGAAGUGCGAAUGCUGACAUAAGUAACGAUAAAGCGGGUGAAAAGCCCGCUCGCCGGAAGACCAAGGGUUCCUGUCCAACGUUAAUCGGGGCAGGGUGAGUCGACCCCUAAGGCGAGGCCGAAAGGCGUAGUCGAUGGGAAACAGGUUAAUAUUCCUGUACUUGGUGUUACUGCGAAGGGGGGACGGAGAAGGCUAUGUUGGCCGGGCGACGGUUGUCCCGGUUUAAGCGUGUAGGCUGGUUUUCCAGGCAAAUCCGGAAAAUCAAGGCUGAGGCGUGAUGACGAGGCACUACGGUGCUGAAGCAACAAAUGCCCUGCUUCCAGGAAAAGCCUCUAAGCAUCAGGUAACAUCAAAUCGUACCCCAAACCGACACAGGUGGUCAGGUAGAGAAUACCAAGGCGCUUGAGAGAACUCGGGUGAAGGAACUAGGCAAAAUGGUGCCGUAACUUCGGGAGAAGGCACGCUGAUAUGUAGGUGAAGUCCCUCGCGGAUGGAGCUGAAAUCAGUCGAAGAUACCAGCUGGCUGCAACUGUUUAUUAAAAACACAGCACUGUGCAAACACGAAAGUGGACGUAUACGGUGUGACGCCUGCCCGGUGCCGGAAGGUUAAUUGAUGGGGUUAGCGCAAGCGAAGCUCUUGAUCGAAGCCCCGGUAAACGGCGGCCGUAACUAUAACGGUCCUAAGGUAGCGAAAUUCCUUGUCGGGUAAGUUCCGACCUGCACGAAUGGCGUAAUGAUGGCCAGGCUGUCUCCACCCGAGACUCAGUGAAAUUGAACUCGCUGUGAAGAUGCAGUGUACCCGCGGCAAGACGGAAAGACCCCGUGAACCUUUACUAUAGCUUGACACUGAACAUUGAGCCUUGAUGUGUAGGAUAGGUGGGAGGCUUUGAAGUGUGGACGCCAGUCUGCAUGGAGCCGACCUUGAAAUACCACCCUUUAAUGUUUGAUGUUCUAACGUAGACCCGUGAUCCGGGUUGCGGACAGUGUCUGGUGGGUAGUUUGACUGGGGCGGUCUCCUCCUAAAGAGUAACGGAGGAGCACGAAGGUUGGCUAAUCCUGGUCGGACAUCAGGAGGUUAGUGCAAUGGCAUAAGCCAGCUUGACUGCGAGCGUGACGGCGCGAGCAGGUGCGAAAGCAGGUCAUAGUGAUCCGGUGGUUCUGAAUGGAAGGGCCAUCGCUCAACGGAUAAAAGGUACUCCGGGGAUAACAGGCUGAUACCGCCCAAGAGUUCAUAUCGACGGCGGUGUUUGGCACCUCGAUGUCGGCUCAUCACAUCCUGGGGCUGAAGUAGGUCCCAAGGGUAUGGCUGUUCGCCAUUUAAAGUGGUACGCGAGCUGGGUUUAGAACGUCGUGAGACAGUUCGGUCCCUAUCUGCCGUGGGCGCUGGAGAACUGAGGGGGGCUGCUCCUAGUACGAGAGGACCGGAGUGGACGCAUCACUGGUGUUCGGGUUGUCAUGCCAAUGGCACUGCCCGGUAGCUAAAUGCGGAAGAGAUAAGUGCUGAAAGCAUCUAAGCACGAAACUUGCCCCGAGAUGAGUUCUCCCUGACUCCUUGAGAGUCCUGAAGGAACGUUGAAGACGACGACGUUGAUAGGCCGGGUGUGUAAGCGCAGCGAUGCGUUGAGCUAACCGGUACUAAUGAACCGUGAGGCUUAACCUU
rnacentral:rRNA from 1 species